ACUCCUACGGGAGGCAGCAGUGGGGAAUAUUGCACAAUGGGGGAAACCCUGAUGCAGCGACGCCGCGUGAACGAAGAAGGUAUUCGUAUCGUAAAGUUCUGUCCUAUGGGAAGAUAAUGACAGUACCAUAGAAGAAAGCUCCGGCUAAAUACGUGCCAGCAGCCGCGGUAAUACGUAUGGAGCGAGCGUUGUCCGGAAUUAUUGGGCGUAAAGGGUACGCAGGCGGUUUAAUAAGUCGAAUGUUAAAGAUCGGGGCUCAACCCCGUAAGUAUUGGAAACUGAUAAACUUGAGUAGUGGAGAGGAAAGUGGAAUUCCUAGUGUAGUGGUGAAAUACGUAGAUAUUAGGAGGAAUACCAGUAGCGAAGGCGACUUUCUGGACACAAACUGACGCUGAGGUACGAAAGCGUGGGGAGCAAACAGGAUUAGAUA
rnacentral:rRNA from 1 species